rnacentral:rRNA from 1 species
GUCCGAUUUGGCCGCGUCCAGCGAAGACCAAGUGGAUGGAUGACAGUAGGCAUCUUGUCUGAACUCCCAAGCUUUCCCCACCGCUCGCUCCCCAGCUCCCAGUCCACACGAACUCACAGGCUGCUGCAUCUAGGCCGCCUGUCCUUGCCGCCGCGGCGGAUCUCGUCUCCUGGGCGCGCCGGGGGUUCCUGUGCAACGGCCGCCGACGAUGAAUCCGUCUCCCGCGCCGGCGUGCUGCUGGAUUCAGCCUACUCGCGCAGGGUGGCUUCGCCGAGACUCGGCCUCAGCUCAGGGGGGAGAUGUAGCCGCCCGCCGCGUGCGUUGACUACUGCGGGAGAAGGGGGGAACGCGGGCGACGCCUCCGUGGCCCCGUGGAUCGGAGGAGCACGGCCGGAUGCACCAUGUCCGCAGUCACCACUCCCCGGUUACUGCCUGCAUGCAGUUCGUCGAGCUAGUAAGGCCCAUCAGGUUUCAGUUUGUAAUUGGAUAGUCUGAGAUGAUGAGUGCUGAAGCAAUGGGCCCGCAUUAUUGGAAGCAAGGUUGCCUCCUAAUGUCGAGACCUUCCAGAGCGUAUCUUUUUGAAACCACUGUUGCAAAAUCAAGACUUGCCAGAGCAUGUCUUUCGCUGAAACUACUGUUGCAAAAAUUUGGGCGUAAGCAUCCCUGCCCCCCUUACUUGAUCCUGGUAAAUCAUAUAUGUAGUUCUUACUAUCAAUUUCAUGCUAGGCUUCAGCUAGCAAAUGCUAGGCUUCAGUCACAUGCUUAUGUUGGGUGGAUCUUAAGAUUCGUAGUUAGCUAAGUAAUCACACGCUGAAUAUGGUUUUGACACUCAAUUGAUUUGUGUAGCUAAACAACCAAAACUUCCAAUAAUUACAAAAUGCAGAGAAACUAAGCAGAGAAAAGGAAAACAAGGCCAACGGCAAAAACCAAAAAACUAGCAGAAACUAAGGCGCAGCUGCGCGGCCGGAUCAGGCGGGCGUGGGUGCACCCCAUGUUGCGAUCUGAUCUCGUGCGUACUUCAUAUAGAGUGUGCCCAAGGUCUUUUGUACACAUGAUUCUACACCAGAUCAUGUGGAGUCAUAGUUCUGGCGAGGGAUUGAAUUUGAAUAGUUUUGUGAUGUUAAUUUUACACCUUUGUCAAAAUCCAUACGUGGAAGGCCUAAAAGUGUUGUGUUUGAUGAGUCCUAGGAGUAUUAACUGAAGUUGGUUCCAGUUGUAUCGGGUUUUAGAUGGGUGGGUGGUUCUCCUGUUCUGUCCGUGUACUUAAGAUGAUAUGUGACGCUGUGACACCAGAUUAACGAAAGAAGAAGAGCUUGAUCAUCAUAUUUUUCUUUUGAGCAUGGCGGACUAACCUAGUGGUUUAUUUGUUGAAACCAAAGACAUAUUAGUACACGAGGCUUCAUCUGAUUUCUGUUUUGAGCAUGGAUAAUUAAUCCCCCAGUUCAUUUGUUGAAACCCUAGUCCAGGUACCAAGCCCAUCCGUACUCCAUUUCUUCCUUGAUGGGGAGUGCAAGGAUAUGGGUAGCGUCCGUAGCCCAAAAGAUGGAUUUCACCAGCUGUUCAUCCCAAGUCGCUGUGUAUGGGUCCUUGAGCUCCGUUGUCGUUUAGAUGAUGGUGUUUCCCCGUGGUGUGAAAGGCUUUCUAUCCCAGUUUCUUGGGAGCCAGGGGUCCUCACAGAUUUUUACCGCCGUGCCAUCGCCCACUCGGUUGAUGAUUAUUCCUUGGUUGAGUACCUCAACACCUUGCAAAAUGCCUCGCCAUGCAUAGGACAUCCCAUCUUUUGCUUCCGCAUGAAGAAUGUCCAUAUCUGGGUAUUACCUCGCCCGGGUUGUCGAACAGUCUCCAGCCCUGCUCAUGGCUAGGUUGAACGUAUGGAAUGGAGAUCCUUAAACCCUAAUCCUCCUCCCUUCUUGAACCUUGUAAGUUUUUCCGCGGACAGCCAAUGGAUCUUCUGGUCUUCAUCCUGUUGCGCUCAGAAAAACCUCGAGAUCAUGGCUGUCAUUUGCUCGCAUAACCCUUUUGUAAGGUCAAAUACCGACUGCAAAAAUCGGUAUAGCUUGGGCACAUGCUUCUAUGAGGAUCUCUUUUUCAGCCUUGGUUCUGGAUUGGCCAACUAUUUGUCCUUGGAGUAUAUAGCUACUUAAGGAAAUGAUGGUUCAGUGUUGACAAGUCAUAGGAGGAUGUGGAGGAUGGCUGUGAUUGCCGAGGCAAACGUGUGGGGGAUGUUGGUUGCUGUGUUCGAUUCACUCCGGCGUAUCUGCAUCGAGUUCUGUGGACCUAAGCGCUAUUAAGGACUCAUCGGGGGGCUACUUGCGAAAUUAGGCAAGCCCCUCUCUGGCCGUUGGAUCUACCAUCCAACGGUCCGUAUGCGCGCUCUGUAGCAUAAGAAAGACGAGUUCCGAGCCGACCCCCCGCCGCCACCAUCAGAUCUCGAUCCAUUCGCCCCAUUCCCCUCCCGCCCGGCAAAACCCUAGCCCUCGUCGCCACCUCCCCGCCGCUCUCCAUGGAAGGUCUUCUACCUCUCCGGCCCGUGCUCUUCCGCCGCUCCAGCCGGCAGAGAGGUUCUGCCCGGUCGUCCGCGACAUCCGUCUUCUCCGACUGAAAUCCACAUCAACCGCUCGCUCUUUCUUCUAUCCUCAAGAUCCGGAGGGGAAGAAGAUGGAAGAUCCGAUGGAACAGGAGAGUGAAGAUCUGAAGGCGGGGGAAAAGAAGACGAAAGAUCCGGUGGAGAAGGAGAUCGAAGAUCUGAAGGCAAAGAAGGUGCGCCUGACACCGCAACUGGUUCACUCCAUGUCUAACUACUGUUGGAUGUUGGGCGGGCUCGGCACUUUUUACGGGGCAUUAGAUGAUUUGCCCCAGUUUACUUGGGCAUUAGAUGAUUUGCCCCAGUUUACUUGGGCAUUAGAUGAUUUGCCCCAGUUUACAUGGGAUUAGAUCAUUGCUCCCCACUUUUUACCUCUUCGUCUUCACCGUCACAUACUUUGCACCUCUGGCCGCCCAAUUCAUGUCUCCUCCUCCUGCUUCCCCUAGCUCAAAGUUGCUGAUGCCUGCUCCACAUACCACACUGCCCCAUGUGGGUUGUAAUCCGAUGCUUGCACAGUACAUUGCUGCCAUGUACCCCCCUAGUCAGGUCUGCGCCCUGCUCUCCACAACUGCCUACGACUGUACUCCAAUGCUUGUGCAAUACAUCGCCAGUAUUGCUCCUGGUCGAAUUUGUGCUAUGCUGCCCACAACUGCCACUGAUCAUCCUGCCUCGGGUGCCUCCCCAUCUUCCUUGGCUUCAGACUCAUCCCAGUCAAACAAGCUCAAAUCUUAUAUAUCUUUCUGGGAUAGGUUGACUGUGGCAUUCUUGUUGGGAGCAAUGUUCCUCAUUGCUACGGUGAAGCCACGAGUUGAUGCAGCGGCAAAGGCUGAGGACCGUGCUGCCAGCAAGGAUGACAAGGUGUAUGAGGCUGUGCUUGAUGAGCUGUGCAAGGACCAUAGAUAUGCCGCAAGAGCCCAAGCAGAAGUCCAUGAGGCCACCCGCUGUACCUUUCCUGCAUCACAUGCCCUGCGUCCCGAUGUUGCUCGCCGCAUGCGCACCCGUGAUGACGCUGUCAAAGCGAGAGAAGAGGCUUGCAAGAAGGUUGACGACCUAAGGGCAGUGGUUGGUGUGGCCAGAAUGGGGAAGGUUGAAAGGUUCAUGGUCCGCUGUUUUUUUGUCCUCUCGAUCUUGUUCUCCUUGAGUGCAGGGAUCUGCAGUGCAGCUGCUUUCUUCAGAUCUGCUCAACUAGAGAAGGGGGGUUCGAUGAGCCUUGCUGCUGUUAUUGGCACUAUUGCUGUUGCAGGAGUACCGAUGGUCUUGGCGCAUGCCCAUUUCUUAUAUGUUGCUUUGUACGAGAACUAGUUUUUGCAGCGCCAAUACAUUGUGUUACUUAUGGUUUGAGAACUUAUGUGGAAAAGUGAACUGUAGGCUGAUUUAUUGUAAUUCUGCAUGUUAUCCCUGUAUUCAGUCCACUCCUCAUCUUUUAAUUAAGAACCAAAUGAUCACUGCUGCAUCUCAAAUAAGAGACAUAGUGGUGUUGUGCUGUAACUGCACAUGACAAAAGCUAUUGUUCAAGUUCUUGACAUUAUUUUGAAUGCAUUUAAUCCUGUUUUUGAAUUAAAUGCUAUAGACUGGAUCCUCUUUUUAUUCCCCUGUUAUGUUGAAUGAACUUUUGAAUAUUGGGCCUGUGCUUGCAUUCAAGUUGAUUUGUUUUUUUCAGAUGUGAGUGUGUAUGGGAAGUUUAUAGUUUGGGUGUAUGAGAGUUUGUGCAUUUUAGUGCAGGUUUUGGGGACUGUUUGCAAUUUAGCUUCAGACAACAAUGAUCCACAUCCUCUGUUGGUAGUUGCAAUCCCUACGGUAGUUCCUUAGCCUCCUAUAAAUUAGCACAUCCUCAAGAGUAUGACAGUUGAGAUAUUUAUAGUAGAACUGAUGAUGCUGUAUCACCUUUUCCUACUAAGUCAUUGAAGCUUCUUGCUCCCAGCUUAUGACUGUACAGAACUACAUCUUCAGAAUUUAUUGGAUAUUCUGACCAUGUCUUUUUCCUGAGCAAAAUCAGAGUACUUAACUGUACAAUAAUCAUGUUUUUCUCUUGGGUUAGUAAAAGAAGGAAUUGGAUAUAAUAACUGCACAAUGUGUUUUCUGUGGUUGGCCACUUCCAGUUGAAAAGCUCAAUAAAUAUAGGCCUGGGACUGGAUUAUAAGACGAUAAAACUAGAUAGUAGUCAUAGCAUGUGUGAUUUGUUAAAGUAGCUUUUAGAGAUUUAUCUUGGCCACACUACUCAAGGUCUCAGAAGCUCAUCUGUCCAAGUUCAUAGCUGGUUUUUGCUUUGCAACAGUCCAUAUCAUCUAAAGGAUUAUUUGGCGCAUUCUGGGGAAUGAGGGAGACUAUACCUAUUGGUAGACUCAUUGGAUUUUGGCAACAUGUACAGUGAGGUACAACUGCAACUUGAUGUGUGGAUAUUGAGAGUAAGUUAGUAGGCAUAUUGUUUAUCCUCAGGUUCAGCACUUCUAGUUAGGUUUGUUAAUUAUCUCACACUACAUGAUAUAUAUUACAAGUGUAACGUAUUUAUCUGAAAAGUGAUGACUGAGAUGUGUUACUAUAUGAUCUUCUCUGAAAAGUAGUGCCUAUUUUGGCCUUCUUACUGCUGUUUGGAUGAGGGUUUUACCUACAUGCCCAUCUUACAGUUUCUCAGUAUAAAAAAUCCUAGCCUGUUUGUGUCGCGCUGCUACUUUUGUAUUCAAGAACAUUUGGAUGUUUUAUGACUCUGUAAUGGUAAUGCUUGUUAAUCCUGCUACAGUCAUAUUGUUGUUCUUUCUUCCAACGCACUUAUGUAAUUAUGUAUGUGUGGUAUUGUGACACGAUGUUCAGCCUAUGAUACGAAGCACAACAGUAAGUAUACCAGUCCAAGAGCAACCGGCACAUUUGUUUAUGUUUCACACUUGUCCAAACAUUUAAUGAGUUGGAUGAUUUUUUUUAUGAAAUAAAUCUGCAAUUUGCAGUAUGCCUGGCUAGUAACAGUGCAAAAUAUUGAACAGAAACAUGUACAUAUAUUCCUAACCAUUAAGAUACGAAGCUUUCAGAUACCAAGGCACGAGGAGCGGUCGCCCUCGGGGACGGCUCUCCUGCUGGCCUGGAGCGAGUCGCCACAGCCUUUGAUGCAGGAGAGGAAGGAUAUGCAUACCCUUAUGCGGCUGGUGUGCUGGGAAGUGUGAAAACAUUGAAACGCUGUUGUCUUCGGCAAUGCACUACUGGUCUUGAGUGUGGUGCUGAAGCGGAUUCAUGAGGAGGGUAGGGCUUGGCAGAAAGCCGGGUUAUUUCGGAGUGACAUGGCUUUAUUCUUUCAUAAGUUGUUUAGGUGAGGAGUAGUUGCCUUGUAUUCAGCCUAAGGCCAAAUUUGUAACUUGGUGGACGAGAUAUUCUAGAAGAAGAAAAAAGAUAUCAAGGUUGCAACAUAGGGGAACAUUUCUGGAUGUAUAACUUUUGUAUGAAGCAGCAUGCAGAUAUCACCUUUUUGUUACCCAGGAAUUUUCUCCAACUAUAUUUGACUAUAACAAAAGGAAAUCUUUCAAGUUUGGGUCGUGG